UCUAAUUCCUAGGUCUUGAUCUAAUUGAGUUGACUUUUGUGCAAGGUGAAGGAUAGAGAUCUAAUUUCAUUUUCUACUUGUAGAUAUCGAGUUUUCCUAGUACCAUCAGUGAAAAAGGCUAUUAUUUUUACCCAAAUAGUUUUGGCAUCUUGUUGAGUAUUGGAUAACUGUAUCUAUGUCUCAUUUUCUCUGUGUUGUCUAUUCUAUUCCAUUGGUCUUCAUAUCUAUUUUGAUGACAGUACCAUGCUAUUUUUGUUACUGUAGCUCUGUAAUAAAAUUUGAGUUCAUGUAUUAUGAUGUCUCCAGCAUCACUUCUCUUGUUCAGUAUUUCUUUCUGUACUUUAUGUCUUUUGUUAUUACAGAUGAAUUUUAGGAUUGUUUAUUCUAGUUCUUGAGGAAUAUCAUUGAUAUUUUAAUUGGAAUUGCAUUGAAUCUGUAUAAAGCUUUUGGUAGUAGAGCCAUUUUGACAAUUUUCAUUCUUCUUAUUCAAGAAAUGGGAGGUUUUUCCAUCUUCAAAGGUCUUCUUCAAUUUGUUUUUUCAUUGUUCUGUAGUUUUGAUUGCAAAGAUCUUUUACCUCCUUCGUUAAUUUUUCUCCUAAGUACUUUAUUUUUUGAAGUUAUUAUGAAUGAAAUAGUUUUUCUGAUUUCUUUCUUAGUAGCAUCUUGUAUGCUGGAUUUAUCAGCUUUAUAAGUCUCGCCCAGAUUUGGGGUCUUUCUGAUAUAAGAUCAUGUCAUCUGCAGGGAUAAUUUAACAACUUCUUUUCCUGUUUGUUUCCCUUUAAUUUACUUCUUUU
rnacentral:lncRNA from 1 species